rnacentral:rRNA from 1 species
CCCGCUGAACUUAAGCAUAUUAGUAAGCGGAGGAAAAGAAACUAACAAGGAUUCCCCUAGUAACUGCGAGUGAAGAGGGAAAAGCUCAACCUGAAAAUCGGACAGCCACCGCUGCUGCUUCGAAUUGUGGGUUAGAGGCAUACGCUCAGUUUGUGGACUUGGGUAUAAAUCCCUUGGAAUAGGGUGCCAAAGAGGGUGAUAGCCCCGUAUGUGACCCAGUUUUACGCAGACACUAAUGACGUAUGUCCAGAGAGUAGUGCACUUUGAUAAUAGUGCAUGAAGCGGGUGGUAAAUUCCAUCCAAAGCUAAAUACAAACGAGAGACCGAUAGUUCACAAGUACCGUGAGGGAAAGGUGAAAAGAACUUUGAAAAGAGAGUUAAAAAGCACUUGAAAUUGCUAAGAGGUAAGCACUGCUAACCAGUAGAAAAAGCCUAUACGACUUAUAUGCCUCGGCUCCUUUAUCCUAUCUCUGUUGGUUUGGUCAUUCUCACCACUGCUUCGGUAGUGUUGGGGAUCCCAGCCUUCAGAGCAACGGCUGGAGGUAGCUGAGACACAGUAAAUCUGCGGCGAGUCAAGGUCUAUUACGCUUUCGCGUGAGAAAGCUCUUGGGAAUGUGGAUGUACCAUUGUGGUGCUUCGGUAUUACAGCGGAACACUUUACAGCCUUGGGAGUCUUGAUUAACGUGUGGCUAAUAGAGGACAGUCGGCGAGUGAACAAUCUGCACCUAUACUCUACGUCUAACCAGCGUAGAGAACGGGUCUGGUUCUCCCGGUUCCUGCUUUACUCUUGGAGUGUACGUGCCUCAGGCAACGGCGCUUUGAGAAGUGGAGUACUGGCCUGGGUUUAGAAUAUCAAGCAGCAUUCGACGAUCUUGACGAAAUGGUUCUCAGUGUCCCGUCUUGAAACACGG